UACGUAGGGUCCGAGCGUUGUCCGGAAUUACUGGGCGUAAAGAGCGUGUAGGCGGCCAUACAGGUCAGCUGUGAAAACUCGAGGCUCAACCUCGAGACGUCGGUUGAAACCGUAUGGCUAGAGUCCGGAAGAGGAGAGUGGAAUUCCCGGUGUAGCGGUGAAAUGCGCAGAUAUCGGGAAGAACACCCGUGGCGAAGGCGGCUCUCUGGGACGGUACUGACGCUGAGACGCGAAAGCGUGGGGAGCGAACAGG
rnacentral:rRNA from 1 species